UUGACUAAAGCCAAACAGAGGCAAAUCAUUGUUACUGAUUAAAUUGGACACCCUAGUC
rnacentral:tRNA from 1 species